rnacentral:rRNA from 1 species
GGGCCCGCACAAGCGGUGGAGCAUGUGGUUCAAUUCGACGCAACGCGAAGAACCUUACCCAGGCUUGAACUGCGAGUGACAUCCUACGAAAGUAGGCUUCCGCAAGGACACUCGUAGAGGUGCUGCAUGGCUGUCGUCAGCUCGUGUCGUGAGAUGUUGGGUUAAGUCCCGCAACGAGCGCAACCCUUGUCUUCUGUUGCCAUCGGGUCAUGCCGGGCACUCUGAAGAGACUGCCGGUGACAAACCGGAGGAAGGUGGGGAUGACGUCAAGUCAGCAUGGCCUUUAUGUCUGGGGCCACACACGUGCUACAAUGGCCGGUACAAACCGUCGCGAGCCCGCGAGGGGGAGCUAAUCGGAGAAAGCCGGUCUCAGUUCGGAUUGUAGGCUGCAACUCGCCUGCAUGAAGUUGGAAUCGCUAGUAAUCGCGGAUCAGCACGCCGCGGUGAAUACGUUCCCGGGCCUU